GACGGAGGUUGCGAGCGUUAAUCGGAAUUACUGGGCGUAAAGCGCAUGUAGGCGGCCGAACAAGUCAGGUGUGAAAUCCUCGGGCUUAACCUGGGAAGUGCACUUGAUACUGUCCGGCUAGAGUUUGGCAGAGGAAAGUAGAAUUCCCGGUGUGGCGGUGAAAUGCGUAGAUAUCGGGAGGAAUACCAGUGGCGAAGGCGGCUUUCUGGGCCAAUACUUACGCUGAGGUGCGAAAGCGUGGGGAGCAAACAGG
rnacentral:rRNA from 1 species